rnacentral:rRNA from 1 species
GAUGAACGCUGGCGGCGUGCCUAAUACAUGCAAGUCGAGCGAACAGACGAGGAGCUUGCUCCUCUGACGUUAGCGGCGGACGGGUGAGUAACACGUGGAUAACCUACCUAUAAGACUGGGAUAACUUAGGGAAACCGGGGCUAAUACCGGAUAAUAUAUUAAACCGCUGGGUUCAAUAGUGAAAGACGGUUUUGCUGUCACUUAUAGAUGGAUCCGCGCCGCAUUAGCUAGUUGGUAAGGUAACGGCUUACCAAGGCAACGAUGCGUAGCCGACCUGAGAGGGUGAUCGGCCACACUGGAACUGAGACACGGUCCAGACUCCUACGGGAGGCAGCAGUAGGGAAUCUUCCGCAAUGGGCGAAAGCCUGACGGAGCAACGCCGCGUGAGUGAUGAAGGUCUUCGGAUCGUAAAACUCUGUUAUUAGGGAAGAACAAAUGUGUAAGUAACUAUGCACGUCUUGACGGUACCUAAUCAGAAAGCCACGGCUAACUACGUG